GGAGAAUCUACCCUUUAGGACUGGGAUAACCCUGGGAAACUGGGGCUAAUACCGGAUAGGCAAUUUUUCCUGCAAUGGUUUUUUGUUUAAAUGUUUUUUCGCCUAAGGAUGAGUCUGCGGCCGAUUAGGUAGUUGGUUAGGUAAUGGCUUACCAAGCCGGUGAUCGGUACGGGCUGUGAGAGCAAGAGCCCGGAGAUGGAACCUGAGACAAGGUUCCAGGCCCUACGGGGUGCAGCAGGCGCGAAACCUCCGCAAUGUGAGAAAUCGCGACGGGGGGAUCCCAAGUGCCAUUCUUAACGGGAUGGCUUUUCAUUAGUGUAAAGAGCUUUUGGAAUAAGAGCUGGGCAAGACCGGUGCCAGCCGCCGCAGUAACACCGGCAGCUCUAGUGGUAACAAUUUUUAUUGGGCCUAAAGCGUCCGUAGCCGGUUUAAUAAGUUUCUGGUGAAAUCCUGUAGCUUAACUGUGGGAAUUGCUGGAGAUACUAUUAGACUUGAGACCGGGAGAGGUUAGAGGUACUCCCAGGGUAGAGGUGAAAUUCUGUAAUCCUGGGAGGACCGCCUGUUGCGAAGGCGUCUAACUGGAACGGUUCUGACGGUGAGGGACGAAAGUUAGGGGCGUGAACCGGAUUAGAUACCCGGGUAGUCCUAACUGUAAACGAUGCGGACUUGGUGUUGGGGUGGCUUUGAGCUGCUCCAGUGCCGAAGGGAAGCUGUUAAGUCCGCCGCCUGGGAAGUACGGUCGCAAGACUGAAACUUAA
rnacentral:rRNA from 1 species